CUGAUAUGGACUUGGCUGGUGAUGAUCCUGCUAGUGACGGAGGAGAGCGUGGAGAGAGCGAAAUGAGUCCCGAUUCCGUUCCUGUGUCUCCUGGUGAGCCUGACCCGCUGCCCCAGUUAAAAAGGCCUACAGGGGUUGCCGACAUUAGGGAGGAUAGCAAUGUAGGACCUGAUUCCGCAGAUCCAGAUAACUUGCAGGAGGCAUACGUGGAUUUUG